rnacentral:lncRNA from 1 species
CCCAAAACCAACUUCUUUCUUUUUCAUUCUCUCUCUCUUUUAUAUUUCAAUGGCAAAUCCCAACUCUGCAUAACUUUCUGCAACUGUCAUAACAAAUACAUAUAUAUAACAAACUUUGAGACACCUUCUACAUUACAUUUUCCACACCCCAUUAUCAAGAACUCAUCUUUUUUAGGUACAAACAACAAAAACCCUAAUCUUUAAGCUCUCAUGGUUGUUGUUUCUGUGUAAAGAUCAAUUUUUUUGGUUAAAAAAUGUGAUAUUUUUAUUCUCUUGACUUUUUGGAUGUGGAUCUGAUCUGGGGUUUUCAUCUUUUUGUCUCUCGCUGGAAAUGCUGAGAAUUUUGAAUCUUGAUCUUAAUUGGUAUUUACAUGUUCAUUCUGUUUAUGUGCAAAAUUUGGUGUUUUUUUUUUGCAGGUGAUCUGAGGAUUUGGAUUGCUUGUUUAUAAGGGAAUAAUAAAAAGAGUUGCUUCAGAAUUGGCAUUGUUUGGAAUUGUGUAAAGUUCU